rnacentral:rRNA from 1 species
UACGUAGGGUGCAAGGCGUUAAUCGGAAUUACUGGGCGUAAAGCGUGCGCAGGCGGUUAUGUAAGACAGUUGUGAAAUCCCCGGGCUCAACCUGGGAACUGCAUCUGUGACUGCAUAGCUAGAGUACGGUAGAGGGGGAUGGAAUUCCGCGUGUAGCAGUGAAAUGCGUAGAUAUGCGGAGGAACACCGAUGGCGAAGGCAAUCCCCUGGACCUGUACUGACGCUCAUGCACGAAAGCGUGGGGAGCAAACAGG